rnacentral:rRNA from 1 species
GACGAACGCUGGCGGCGUGCCUAAUACAUGCAAGUCGAACGCUUCUUUCCUCCCGAGUGCUUGCACUCAAUUGGAAAGAGGAGUGGCGGACGGGUGAGUAACACGUGGGUAACCUACCCAUCAGAGGGGGAUAACACUUGGAAACAGGUGCUAAUACCGCAUAACAGUUUAUGCCGCAUGGCAUAAGAGUGAAAGGCGCUUUCGGGUGUCGCUGAUGGAUGGACCCGCGGUGCAUUAGCUAGUUGGUGAGGUAACGGCUCACCAAGGCCACGAUGCAUAGCCGACCUGAGAGGGUGAUCGGCCACACUGGGACUGAGACACGGCCCAGACUCCUACGGGAGGCAGCAGUAGGGAAUCUUCGGCAAUGGACGAAAGUCUGACCGAGCAACGCCGCGUGAGUGAGGAAGGUUUUCGGAUCGUAAAACUCUGUUGUUAGAGAAGAACAAGGACGUUAGUAACUGAACGUCCCCUGACGGUAUCUAACCAGAAAGCCACGGCUAACUACGUG